rnacentral:rRNA from 1 species
GUGCAGCCACCUAACAUUGAAGCUUAUGUUCUGCCAAGACUAGAGAUGCGCUAUGAAACUUUUGAAGAAGCAAAAAACUUCUACAACGUCUAUGCGAAGCACACGGGUUUUGCUGUCAGGGAAGGCCCCAAGUUUAAGACCAGAGCCUACCUUUAUUGCACGUGCUAUGGAGUCUAUGAAUCAAAGGUGUCUGAAGCAAAUAGACAGCGGAACAAAACAACAGCCAGGACUAACUGCGGGGCUAUAAUGAGGCUGAAGAAGGAAAAGGAUGGAACAUUUGUCGUAAAAGAUAUAGUCUGGGAACACAACCACAGGCUACAGCUCACUCCGGAAAUGCUUGUCUUCUUGCACUCCCACAAAAACUUUGACAAAACAAUCUUGGAGUACGUCAAGUACCUGCAGUUCAAAGGCAUUGAACACGCGCAAAUCAUGAGCAUACUGGGCGGUGAUGACCCUGGUAGCUACUUCCUCGAAAUGAAUGCCAAAGACCUGAUUAACCUGAAAGCAAAGAAUUCAAGGAUGGAUGAUGUGGACGAUGUCCUAAAGACUGUCAACUUCUUUAGGGAGAUGAAAGAUAUAAACAGGGAAUUCUUCUGUGACAUGCAACUCGAUGAGUCCGACAGAGUUAAGAACAUAUUCUGGGCGAAUGCAAGCUGCCGAGGGGCCUAUCAGGACUUCGGUGACUGCGUAACAUUUGACACCACAUAUAAGACCAACAAGUACCAUAUGCCACUUGGGGUGUUUGUCGGUACUAACAACCACUUACAGACUACAUUCUUUGGUUUCGCCCUGAUAAGAGAUGAGGAUGCAGAUUCAUUCAUAUGGUUGUUCAAGACAUUUUUAAGGUGCAUGAGAGGGAAGGCUCCUACAUGCAUCCUCACAGACCAGUGCCCGGCAAUGGCUUUGGCGAUACCAGAUGCUUUCGGGAACACAGUACACAAGCUGUGCCGCUGGUACAUUAUGAAGAAGUACAGGGAACACCUCGCAUACCUGUACUACCUGCACGAAGACUUUAAGGAGGAAUUCACAUCAAUCCUCAGCUGGCCCCUCAUGCCAACUGAGUUUGAGGAUGCCUGGAAAGGACUCAUGGAUAGGUACAACCUCCAUGAUGAUGCCACGAUGGUGGCCAUGUGGAACGAGCGUGAGAAAUGGAUAUCCGCCUACUUCAAAGAAAUUUUCUGCGCCAAAAUGACAUCCACACAGCGAAGUGAGAGCAUGAACUAUGUGAUCAAGAAGAACUUUGUAAGUGAGAGACAAAACCUACACCGGUUUGUCAGCCAGGUAAACUCCUGCAUCAAAACCAGGAGGCAGACAAAGAACCAAGAGACAAUGGGUAACAGGGUAUAG